CCCUUUGGGGUGUGACUGCGUACCUUUUGUAUAAUGGGUCAGCGACUUAUAUUCUGUAGCAAGGUUAACCGAAUAGGGGAGCCGCAGGGAAACCGAGUCUUAACCGGGCGUUAAGUUGCAGGGUAUAGACCCGAAACCCGGUGAUCUAGCCAUGGGCAGGUUGAAGGUUGGGUAACACUAACUGGAGGACCGAACCGACUAAUGUUGAAAAAUUAGCGGAUGACCUGUGGCUGGGGGUGAAAGGCCAAUCAAACCGGGAGAUAGCUGGUUCUCCCCGAAAGCUAUUUAGGUAGCGCCUCGUGAAUUCAUCUCCGGGGGUAGAGCACUGUUUCGGCUAGGGGGCCAUCCCGGCUUACCAACCCGAUGCAAACUGCGAAUACCGGAGAAUGUUAUCACGGGAGACACACGGCGGGUGCUAACGUCCGUCGUGAAGAGGGAAACAACCCAGACCGCCAGCUAAGGUCCCAAAGUCAUGGUUAAGUGGGAAACGAUGUGGGAAGGCCCAGACAGCCAGGAUGUUGGCUUAGAAGCAGCCAUCAUUUAAAGAAAGCGUAAUAGCUCACUGGUCGAGUCGGCCUGCGCGGAAGAUGUAACGGGGCUAAACCAU
rnacentral:rRNA from 1 species